GGGGCCGACCUGGUUUCGACGUGGGUGCGGAUUCAAGUAGGGCAUGUCGAGCAUUUCAGUACGCUCGUAAAUCAUUCUGAAAACAAACUUAAGCGCCAACGAUUCAUCGUACGCUCUCGCCGCUUAAAACCGGUGAGCCUCUCAACAGCAGGCCUAUGGGCUGGGGCUGAGUCGCAAGACAAAGUCUGAGAGGUCAUUCACAUAGGCUGGUCGUCAUCCGUGCACCUUGGGUGACGACGAGAUUCAAGGGUGCUGGCGUCUCUGGUAGCGUGCUGCUGCGCGACCAGGGAAGCGAGAUCCAAAUCAGACAGCUACACAUGUAGAACUGCUUGUUGAUGGCUUACGGACGGGGGUUCAAUUCCCCCCGGCUCCACCA
rnacentral:tmRNA from 1 species